rnacentral:rRNA from 1 species
GUGAACGCUGGCGGUAGGCCUAACACAUGCAAGUCGCACGGCAGCACAGUAAGAGCUUGCUCUUACGGGUGGCGAGUGGCGGACGGGUGAGGAAUACAUCGGAAUCUACUUUUUCGUGGGGGAUAACGUAGGGAAACUUACGCUAAUACCGCAUACGACCUACGGGUGAAAGCAGGGGAUCUUCGGACCUUGCGCGAUUGAAUGAGCCGAUGUCGGAUUAGCUAGUUGGCGGGGUAAAGGCCCACCAAGGCGACGAUCCGUAGCUGGUCGGAGAGGAUGAUCAGCCACACUGGAACUGAGACACGGUCCAGACUCCUACGGGAGGCAGCAGUGGGGAAUAUUGGACAAUGGGCGCAAGCCUGAUCCAGCCAUACCGCGUGGGUGAAGAAGGCCUUCGGGUUGUAAAGCCCUUUUGUUGGGAAAGAAAAGCAGCAGGUUAAUACCCCGCUGUUCUGACGGUACCCAAAGAAUAAGCACCGGCUAACUUCGUG